UACGAGGGGGGGCGAGCGUUGUUCGGAAUUAUUGGGCGUAAAGGGUGCGUAGGCGGUUUGGUAAGUCUUAUGUGAAAUCUACAGGCUCAACUUGUAGUCUGCAUGAGAAACUGCCGGGCUUGAGUAGGGAGAGGUGAGUGGAAUUCCUGGUGAGCGGUGAAAUGCGUAGAUAUCAGGAGGAACACCUGUGGCGAAAGCGGCUCACUGGACCAUAACUGACGCUGAUGCACGAAAGCUAGGGGAGCAAACAGG
rnacentral:rRNA from 1 species